CGCCCGGGUUCCCAGGGCGCCAGCCUCGGGCGGAAGGCUGGGGCACUCGCCCAGUGCGCGUCCGCACAGCCUGCUCCCAGCAGUUCUGCGUCAGACGACUCCUGGCUUCUGAGUCCUUCACCUCGCUUGGCCUUGGCACCAACCUUCCCUCGGCCGAAGGUUGCACUCGUGAGUGAACAGUUCAAGCUCCUCUGUGACUUCUGCAGGGAGCUGUCGCUGUGUCUCUGCUUCGAUUUAUCAAAGCAGCUGUUAGGGGCGUCCCUCACCUCCCUGUUUGGGGGCUGCCUGUUCUGCAGGAGCGAGAACCUCCCCUCCUCAGUUUUAGGCUAGGUGUAGACCAGAUAAAGGUUGCUUGCAGAGCUUCAUAUUCUCCACUUGUCUUUUCUUGCUUGCCUCCUCCCCUGCCAACUCUGUAGACCAAUAUCAGUUCUCCUCCUCCUACAAGAGAACAACUGGGAUUUGACUUAAAAUUCUGCACCCCUUGAAGAUAUGUUUUCUCAUUCCCAGAAGAUGAUUACACUGGGGGAGCUAGGGCACAGAGCCCUCUUUGGUGCCUACACUGCCUCUUCAAGAAGCAUGACUGCCACAAAGGAGUCCAGCAUCAGUUCUGGUUUUCCUGCCUGUGUUCUUGUUACUUGUACAUACAUUAUUUAACUAUUUAGGUUUUAAAUUAUUACUACAUGGAUAGAACUGGUUACAAUUUCAUGUUUUAAUGAGAAAAAUAAGUAUUUGAAAAGCAGUGCUGAGACGUAUUAGAAAAUAAAAUUUGCUGUUUUCUGAGGCAGGAUGGCAUCACUCUACAGGCUAAGUGGAGGGCACCUCAGCCAGUUCCCUCUCCUCACCCUCAGGGGCUGAAUCUACCUGUUGUGAUGACUUUCCCCAAGCUCCCUGGGACAAUAAUACAAGGCUUUACUCUUGAAAAGUCCCAACUUUUUUUUUCCUUACUUCCAUGUUAGCUAGGAAUCUUAAAUCACCCCUCAUCCAUUUA